UAGGGAAUCUUCGGCAAUGGGGGGAACCCUGACCGAGCAACGCCGCGUGAGUGAAGAAGGUUUUCGGAUCGUAAAGCUCUGUUGUUAAGGAAGAACGAGUGUGAGAAUGGAAAGUUCAUGCUGUGACGGUACUUAACCAGAAAGGGACGGCUAACUACGUGCCAGCAGCCGCGGUAAUACGUAGGUCCCGAGCGUUGUCCGGAUUUAUUGGGCGUAAAGCGAGCGCAGGCGGUUAGAAAAGUCUGAAGUGAAAGGCAGUGGCUCAACCAUUGUAGGCUUUGGAAACUGUUUAACUUGAGUGCAGAAGGGGAGAGUGGAAUUCCAUGUGUAGCGGCGAAAUGCGUAGAUAUAUGGAGGAACACCGGUGGCGAAAGCGGCUCUCUGGUCUGUAACUGACGCUGAGGCUCGAAAGCGUGGGGAGCGAACAGG
rnacentral:rRNA from 1 species